GGUGCUGUGGCUUAGUGGGCAAAGCUGUGGUCUGCAGUGCCAGCAUCCCAUAUGGGUGCUGGUUCAAGUCCUGGCUGCUCUA
rnacentral:tRNA from 1 species